rnacentral:rRNA from 1 species
GGGAGCAUCAGGUAUCGGCAGAGGGUUCGAUCUGGCUCGUUGAACGCUGGCGGGAUGCUUUACACAUGCAAGUCGAACAGCAGCCUGGACUUCGAUCCUGGUGGCAGUGGCGAGCGGGUGAGUAAUGUAUCGGAACGUGCCUAAUAGCGGGGGAUAACUGCGGCGUAGCAAUACCAUGCACCCCUUCAGGGGAAAGCGGGGGACCUUUGACCUCACUAUUAAACGGCCGAUACUCAGUUGAGCUAGUUGGUGGAGUAACGCUCGCAGGGCGACGAAAUCGUAGCUGGUUUGAGAGGACGACCCACCACUGGGACUGAGACACGGCCCAGACUCACAGGAGGCAGCAGUGGGGUACGGACAAUGGGGAAACCUGAUCCAGCCAUCCGCGUGUUGAUGACCUUCAGGUUGUAAAGCACUUUUGGCAGGGAAAACGGCACGGGAUAAUACCCCGUGCAAGCUGACGAAUUACCUGCAGAAUAAGCACCGGCUAACUACGUGCCAGCAGCCGCGGUAAUACGUAGGGUGCAAGCAUUAAUCGGAAUUACUGGGCGUAAAGCGUGCGCAGGCGGUUCGGAAAGAAGAUGUGAAAUCCCAGAGCUUAACUUUGGAACUGCAUUUUUAACUACUGACUCAGGUGUGUCAGAGGAGUGGAGAUUCACGUGUAGCAGUGAAGUGCAUAGCGAAUAUGCGGAGGAACACCCUAGUAGCGGCUACGCCUCUAGGUUAUUUGGCUUUUCGCCCUUGCACCCAUCGGUGGCAGGGUUACGGCCACCUUUGGUGAUUCCACGCCCCAACGAUGUCAACUACUGUUGGGGCCUUCGGGCCUUGGUAGCGCAGCUAACGCGUGAAGUUGACCGCCUGGGGAAUUACGGUCGCAAGAAGAUUAAAACUCAAAGGAAUUGACGGGGACCACCUGACGGUGGAUGAUGUGGAUUAAUUCGAUGCAACGCGAAAAACCUUACCUACCCUUGACAUGUCUGGAAUCCCGAAGAGAUUUGGGAGUGUGAGAGAACCGGAACACAGGUGCUGCAUGGCUGUCGUCAGCUCGUGUCGUGAGAUGUUGGGUUAAGUCCCGCAACGAGCGCAACCCUUGUCAUUAGUUGCUCACGAAGAAGGCACUCUAAUGAGACUGCCGGUGACAAACCGGAAAGGUGGGGAUGACGUCAAGUCCUCAUGGCCCUUAUGGGUAGGGCUUCACGUCAUACAAUGGUCGGGACAGAGGGUCGUAACCGCGAGGCCAAUCCCAGAAACCCGAUCGUAGUCCGGAUCGCAGUCUGCAACUCGACUGCCGUGAAGUCAGAUCCUUUAAUAAUCAUGAUCAGCAUGUCGCAGUACAGACCGUUCCCGGGUCUUGUACACCGCCCGUCACACCUGCAUGAGUGGGUUUACCAAAUGAUUAGCCUAACCACUGGGAGGCGUUACACAUUUAGAGGAUUCAUGACUGGGGUGAAGUCGUAACAAAGGCG